rnacentral:lncRNA from 1 species
AUACAUGGUGCAUACAGAUCUUCAGAUGCAGAGGGAGUUGUCAUAUGUCCUCUGAACUGUUACAGUUGGAAGAAGAAUGACGUCAGUCACCACAGGGGGACAUGUGGAUCCUCUCGUCUCCAUAAGAAGUCAUUAUCAAGUGAAGUACAGAUGUACAAACAAGCAGUGAGUGUACUAAUAAGAGGGGGAGAGGAAGCAGCUAUAAAUAUGGACCUUUUUAAAGAGCAUCUUAUUGGAGUCCUACCAUGAAUUUUUGAGCACCAUGGUUUAAGGGCAGUGGAAAGCUCCUCAGUCGACACUGUCAUGAAGGGGCUGCGCUCAACAAUGCACAAGGUUUAUUACACUCAAAAACAAUGAACUUCGACAGCAAAACAAGAUUCAGGACUCUGUAAAUUGGAAACUAAAUUACGGAAGCCAUGUACUUCCCGAGAUAUUUCCAGGACCCAGCUCACGGC